rnacentral:lncRNA from 14 species
CCCCAAACCUUCCCCCCGCCUCUGUUCACCCCCCGUUGUUGCCCCUGCCCCCCAUUUUCUGCCCCCCCCCCAGCUGUGGCUCAAGGCCCUGCGGGUUCUGCCCCACCCGCCCCCCCCCGGGGGGGUCCCCGAGUGCUGCCUCAGGGUGACCCUGACCCCGCUGCGCCUGCACAUCGACCAGGACCCGCUGAUUUUCCUCAGGGAUUUCGCCGGCGCCUUCCUCGCCCACCUGAGCCCCGCCCCGGGCCCCGCCCCGGGCCCCGCGCCCGGUACCGCCCCCAGGGGGAGGGGCUGGGGGCGGGGCCGGCCUGGGGAGGGGCUGGGGCCUGGGGCCGGCCUGGGGAGGGGCCAGCCCGGGGGAGGGGCUGGGGCAGGGGGAGGGGCUGGGGGAGGGGCCGGCCCGGGGGAGGGGGGGGGGCCCGGGGGAGGGGCCGGCCCGGGGAGGGGCUGGGGGGGGCCGGCCCGGGGGGAGGGGCUGGGGGAGGGGCCGGCCCGGGGGGAGGGGCUGGGGGAGGGGCCAGCCCGGGGGGAGGGGCUGGGGGAGGGGCUGGCCGGGGGGGGGAGGGGCUCCGGGGCUUUGGGGGUCCCCUGACUGUGCCCCCCCCCUGCAGCCCCCCCCGGGGUCGGGGACCCCCCCAGGCCGGAGCCGCCCCCGGAGCCGGAGCCAGAGCCAGAGACCCCCCCGAUCUACUUCCGCGAGUUCCGUUUCACGGCCGAUGUCCCCGUCUGGCUGGAUUACCGCGGCAAGCGCGUCACCAUGGAGCAGGGCGCCCUGGCCGGGAUCCUGAUCGGGCUGGCGCGGCUGAACUGCUCCCAACUGCGCCUGAAACGGCUCUGCCACCGCCAGGGGCUGCUGGGGCUCAGCCGGGUCGUGUCCUACGCGGUGACCGAGUGGCUCCGGGACAUUCGGUGUCACCAGCUGCCGGGGCUGCUGGGGGGGGUGGCGCCGGUGCACGCCGUGCUGCGCCUCUGGCGCGCUCUCCGGGACCUGCUGCUGCUGCCGCUGCAGGGGGGGGGUCCCGGGGGGGUGACCCGGGGGGUGACCCGGGGGGUGACCCGGGGGGUGACACGCUCGGGGCCGCCGGGGCCAGCGCGGCGCUGGGGCUGGGAGCGAGGCUGCUGAGGGCGCUGCAGGCCCUGGCCGAGGCUCUGUUCGGACUCGUGGCCCCCCCGGGCCCCCCCCACGAGCGGCUCCCAGCACGGACCAGCACGGACCAGUACAGACCGGUACGGACCAGUGGGGACCAGUGUGGGACUGGGGGAGCUCCCAGUAUGGCCCAGUUGGGGUCAGGGGGUCCCCGUAUGGCCCAGUUUGGGGUUGAGGGGUCCCAGUUCACUCCGGCGGGGCUGGGGGGUGCUCGUGCCCCCCAGUCCCCCCCAGUAACCCCAGUUCCCCCCCCGUUCUCUCCCCAGCGCCCCCCCGGCUCGAGGAGCGGCCCCGCCCCCACCGAGGGACUGCGGGGGCCCCGCCCCCCCCUGCGGCCCCGCCCCCAAUAAACUGGUUUUUACUGGUUCUUACUGGGACUGGCACUGCUUCUUACUGGGACUGGCACUGGUUUUUACUGGGAUUGUUUUUUCCUGGUUUUUCCUGGUUUUUACUGAUUUUUACUGGUUUUACUGUUGUUUUCUAGUUUUCACUGGGAUUGGUUUUUCCUGGGACUGGUUUUCACUGGUUUUUUACUGGUUUUUACUAUUUUUACGGGUUUUUACUGGUUUUUACUGGGGGAGCCCGGUGGGAGGGGCUCGGGCGCCGCGCGGGAGGGGGCGUGGCUCGCGCGCCGUGACUCCGCCC